rnacentral:rRNA from 1 species
GUUGUUGCACCUUACGGUUUCCUUAAUUCAACAUCGAGGUCGCAAACCUUUUUUUUAAUUAGGGCUUUAAAAAAGAUAACGCUGUUAUCCCUGAAGUAAUUUGAUUUUUAAGCUUUUAAGGGUCGUUUUAUUCACUCAAUUGUGUUUUAAUAAGAACAGGUGUUAUAUUUAUUCUAACCGCCCCAGCAAAACUCUCAGGUUUUUAGUCUAAUAAGUAUUUAAUAGAGUUAAAUUUUACAGGGUCUUGUCGUCUUUUAACAGUUUUUCAGGAUUUUGACUGAAAUCUAAUUUUUUUUAUUUUUAGGGAUAAGCUAAUCUUCGUGGCACCUUUCAUUCAAGUCUAAAAUUAAAAGACAAUAUAUUAUGCUACCUUUGUACAGUUAGAAUACUGCAGCUCUUUAUAAAACAGUGUGCAGGUGUGACUAUUUAUUAUUCAAACAGACAUGUUU